rnacentral:rRNA from 1 species
CCUACGGGAGGCAGCAGUGGGGAAUAUUGCACAAUGGGCGCAAGCCUGAUGCAGCAACGCCGCGUGAGGGACGACGGCCUUCGGGUUGUAAACCUCUUUUAGUAGGGAAGAAGCGAAAGUGACGGUACCUGCAGAAAAAGCACCGGCUAACUACGUGCCAGCAGCCGCGGUAAUACGUAGGGUGCAAGCGUUAUCCGGAAUUAUUGGGCGUAAAGAGCUCGUAGGCGGUUUGUCGCGUCUGCUGUGAAAACUGGAGGCUCAACCUCCAGCCUGCAGUGGGUACGGGCAAACUAGAGUGCGGUAGGGGAGAUUGGAAUUCCUGGUGUAGCGGUGGAAUGCGCAGAUAUCAGGAGGAACACCGAUGGCGAAGGCAGAUCUCUGGGCCGUAACUGACGCUGAGGAGCGAAAGCAUGGGGAGCGAACAGGAUUAGAUACCCUGGUAGUCCAUGCCGUAAACGUUGGGCGCUAGAUGUGGGGACCAUUCCACGGUUUCCGUGUCGCNGCUACGCAUAAGACGCCCGCCGUCGGGAGGUACGGCCGGCGACGGACGUAAACUACGAAAGAAGUAGACGGCGUGAGACGUCGCCGACGGACGACGACGAGGGAGGAGG